AACGGCCAUAUCACGUUGAAACACCGGUUAUCGUACGAUCACCGAAGUUAAGCAAUGUCGUGUCUGUUCAGUACCUAGAUGGGUGACCGCUUGGGAAUAGAAGGUGCUG